AAACACGGACCAAGGAGUCUAACAAAUAUGCGAGUUUUUGAGUAGGACACUUAAAAGCGAAAUGAAAGUAACGCUAGGAAUGUAUUGCACUAGCAGCCGACUAUGUUCUCUGGACAAGGUUUGAGCGUGAGCAUAUUUGUUAGGACCCGAAAGAUGGUGAACUAUGCCUGAGUAAGGCGAAGCCAGGGGAAACUCUGGUGGAGGCUUGUAACGAUACUGACGUGCAAAUCGUUCGUCAAACUUGGGUAUAGGGGCGAAAGACUAAUCGAACCAUCUAGUAGC
rnacentral:rRNA from 1 species